UGGGCUGAAAUCCUGGGACUCCUGUUGGUGGCUGCUGCAGCUCCAUGUGUAACUAAACCUUCCCUUGCCUAAAGUGCUGCUUGGGGAAUUUGAUUCCCAACCGCUAUUUAUGGCUAUUGAUUUCUGCACUUCUUAUUACCACAGUUCCCUUUCAAGUUUUGUUUCAGCUCAUAAGAAACCAUCUGAAAAAGAAUGGGGAAGAAUGGAGUUGGAUGUAGGCACCGCAUCUCCAGAGUUCAAAGAUUUAACAGGAGCUGCCGGAGAUAGCAAAGACACUUCAGA